UAUGGUUAAUAUCUUAUGCGCGGAUCGGGUUUGGACACCGGGUACAUAGCACGGUUCCAGAGAAAUCUCGUUGCUACUACAUGCAAUGUGCUUAGGUAGAUAGCAGGAAUUUUAAAGUAGCAUGCAUACAAUACAUAGUUGCAUGCGAAACGAUGCUAUCGAAACUAUCAACGAACGUUCCACCAUAAAUUCCCCGCCUAAGAUAAUUCUACACCCUCGAUCCUUCAACCAUGAAUCACUCAAAGCGAAGGCAUUCUCCGAUGUUGCGGUAAUAGUCAUUAUUACGUACGAGGGAUUAGACUUUACGCUAUAUAUUUACAUAAUAAAUCAAAUGGAAACAACGAUAUAACCCUCCCCGUGUAACCCUAUAGAAAUUUUACCCUUCAAUUAUCCCGACCCACCUUCCACUUCUACCAUCUUAACACCCGUAACGUGUCAUUUACGCGUCCGACGCGCGAAUCUUAAUCCUCCCUAUUAUUUUAUUUAUUUAUUUAUUGAACCGUCAUUAAGGGAAAAUUAAGAAACGCGAGAUCUCUUAAAAUAAAAUCUACCGAACGCUUGUCGAGCUUGUUCUUAUUAGCAGAUAGUCUCGAGCACCGUUAAGGUAAGAGCGAGAACACUUUUCCAAGAGGGAGAAGAACGAAUUUUCUCGAAAAUUCGAAAGAAAACGUUCCGAAGCGGAUCGCGUGCGGUCGUACUCUCGAUUCUUUCACUCUCGCGUAAUGGCGGUCGUUAGCGGCGUGGAUCGUUCGACCCUGUUUCGUGGCCGCUUCAUCGUGCACUCGCGCAGCGAAGCGCACGCGCACCGCCCGAUCGAGAUUCGACUCGCGUGCCGAUCACGCGUUCGAGCCGAUCGCGCGCACGCACGCACACACUGGGGCCGCUCGAUUCGCGCGCGUCGUUGCACGCGACCGGCCACGGCGCACACAACCUCCGCCGGGAUGCAAAUGCGCGCUGAAUUCUGCACAACAGUUCUGCGUUCGUGACGAGCGUUCGCAUGCGCCCGUCGCGAAGGGGGUUGACAUCCUGUGCCGUAUCCUCGCCUCGUUAUAUUCAGGACUUUUCGUACGAUCGGAUUCGGGCUCGAUCUUUAACCUUUGGAGAGGGUAUAAUAUAACAAAAUUUUAAGCAAAAGAUACUCGAAAAAGAAAAUUUAUAUAAACCAUAUGAACAUUCGGGCUUACCUAUUUGCCGUUUGUUGUAGCGGUUUCGAUCGAGUCAGAGCUACUUUAAAGUACGUUGGUGAGACGUCUCUUUUAAAACUUUUUUCUACGCCGUUGGAUGUAGCCUAGAAGAUUUGUUAUGCCAUGUUGAAUAGAAUUAAACACAUACGAUGAUUUUGUCGUUCAAAAAAAUUGAAACACUUGGCCGAUAACAGCAAGUAGAAGUCUCGUAUUUGUUGUUCUCGAAUCGAAAACGGUGGUGUCAGUUUAGUGAGGAUAGCGUAGAAUCCCUGUCGGACGGUUGUCCGAUGGGGAGAGAUAAAUGGUUCGGACACGAAACCGAGAGAGGAUGCUUUUAGUGCAGUUACGGUGGAUGUGUACGAUGGAUGUGACGGGCGUCACGUAACGCUUGUUUGGUGCCUCUGGGAUGCUGAAAUCGAUAAUGAAACGGUAGAACAAAGUAAUUUCUCGAACGCGAUAUCUGACUUAGAGGGAUCGUUCCCCAAACCGCUUUAUCCGUUUAUCCUCCGAGCACGAAGUGAAAACCGACUUCCAAUCUCCGUUUCUCCACGCGUGACUUGCUGGCGAUGGAAAUGGCUGAGAAUCCAUUUCCAACGUAGCUUUAUUGUCGUUGCAAAUCCUCGAUAAAUUUUCGCUCUGCGAAAAACGCUUUUCGCGCCUGAGAAACUUUCUCCGAUCGUUCCUUUUUCAGGAGGAGUUAAAUUAGUUAGUUAAAUCAGCGCGUGUUCCAUAAAUUAAUGGAAGCGUCGGCUGAUUUAUCGGGUAAGAAGGCGGGUAAGAAGCGUUGAACGAGGUAGGCACGCGUGCGAUCGAGCAGCCGACCGAUUUCACUUUCCCCGAUCAGGAAGCCGCCUCGCCUCCUAUUCUCUUUCUCUCGCUUUUUUCGCGGCAGGGAAAAGUAAAGGAGAACCGUGAGAGACGGAGAGAGCGCCACCAAGGUGUUGAAAAAUCGGAUCCCCGGAUAUGCGGGCGAGGAGGGGAGGGGGCCCCUCUCUCGUCCCCCCAAAUUUCCUCUUCCACCUUAUUUUUUUUGCUCCCUAAACCAUUUUCUCGAAACUCGUUUCCUUCUCUUUGAGAAUUCUUCUCGCCAAUCUUUUUUCGCCAAUCGUUUUACUCCAAAGGGAAUUUUAUUUCCCUUUUCUCGUGAUAGUAUUAUUUAUUCCCGAAAAUUUUAAAUUUUCAUUAAAUCGCAUCCAACUCGUCCCUUCUUCGCCGAUUUCUCUCAUAUAUAUAUACAUAAACGGUCGACAUGGAGAAAGGAGAGGAAAAAGAAGUGGAUGCAGUCCUCCUCCUCCUCCUGCUCGCAUGAAUAAGAGGCAAAGCGUAUACCGUGGUAUCCACGCUGAUAAAUCGUAUCGUGGAAGCGAUCGAGACGCGUGCCGGGAGAACGGUGGCCCGAAUCGCGACGCGGCGACCGCUCCCCUCCCCCUCCCCCGUGCAGAGGUUGGAUCGAUGGAUCGUUUCAACGCCGAGUUCAACGUUCUUUGUUCGGUUUUCGAGCGUUUUGGAGCGAUCAGGGGGAGAGGAUCGCGGACCAACACCCCUUCCUCCUCCAACCCCCGAUCGCGGUGUCCUGUUCCAUCUCUCUAUCCAUCCAUCCGUCCCGCUCCACCUUCCUCCUCCCCGCCCCUGUCUAUCCGUCUCCCCGGGCUCUGGACAGCGAACACGCCAGGCGGGUCAACGCACCUAAGGCCUAACGAGCGACCAACCGAGCCAACCUAUCCAUUCUGCCUACCUACCUACCCAUCUACCUACUUAUCGCCACUUAUUCACUCGCUUCUCUCAGCCAGUGGAAUCCCGAAUUGGUGAAUCGGCCGUUUAACCACGCGCGCGACCCGCCACCUCCGCGGACGGAAGAGAAGAGAGGAAUAAUGGCGGAGCGAGUCUACGUCUUUGAUUUCGAAUUCUUUCUCUUCCCGCUGGAUUAUCGAGCGCUGCGAUUCGUUCUGAUGUUCUUGUCCUUCUUUUUUUAAUAUGAACUUUUGACGAGGACGAAACUUUUAUCUCGAUUAAUCAUCGUCUACGAUAUCCUGUGCGUGUAUUAAUUGGAUCGUCUCGCUGGGAAUAUCGGACAAAGGAUCUGCUUGCUCGUAAAAAUUUCAUUCGUUUGGUUUUUCAUUUGAUUUAUCGAGAGAAGAGUUCGUUCCUUCCUUGAAAUUUUCAAGAUAUAUUAUAUUGUUAUACUCGAUGAUCCAAACAAUUUUCAAAAAGACCUUAUCAAAGAGAUAUAUAUACAUCUAUAAAAAUGAUGCCUUCGAUUUUUGCACGUAUGCUUACAUACUUUGCGUAAUUAUAUCCAUCUAUCCAAUCAUCUGUUAUCCACCUAUCGGUUGUUGUUUGCUCACCGCCAGAUGAGAGGAACAGCUGAGCGGCGUGAAAGAAUGAACACGGAGUGGAGAGAUACGAAAUAUCAUAUGGACGGAUGAUAAUUCGUUGCGGCCCCUGUAUCGAUGGAACACACGGGCAUGGCGCCCCGGCUUCAGGUCACUGAUCCAGCUGAAUCGAUUCGCAAGAAACGGGCUCCGCUCGAUCUCGACGGCGGGAGAGGGGGAAGGGGAGGUAUCACACGGUCGCCACGGUUUUUUUCACAUGAGAAAAAGAGCAUCGAAGCUGGCCUGGCCCUCGAUUAACGGGGAAUGGGUCACUUCGUGUUGAAUCUGGACGAGUUUCUUCGAGCCUUUUGUCCUCCAUAUAUGUAUAUAUAUAUAUAUAUAUAUAUAUAUAUAUAUAUAUAUUUAGAGAGAGAGAAAGAUGGAUUUUAAUUUUAAGACGAAGCGGAUCGUGAACGAUGCGAUUUGAGAAAUGGAAGAAACGAGGAGAGGAUGGAUUUCGGAUGAUCGAAGGUGGUUGAAUUGGUUUGGCGUUUAGAGAGGAGGCGUCUCGAGAAGCUGAGAACGAAACAGGAAGUGGGAACUGUGACGAAUCGGCCGGGAGAGUCGUGGUCGGUAAGUAUCGCCUGGAGCACGUCCGAUGGGGCAUCGAGGAAUCAAUUAUACGAGGCAGGAUCGCGGCCGCGAGGACAAAGAGAUUAUAAAGGAAAGUGUUCCGAUAUCGCCACUCAUUUCCCAUUCGCGUACGGUGGAAUGUCGAUUGUCCGAAUUGUCCAAAUCGUUGAUUAUUCGAACACGAGGAUUAAAAGUUAGAAACGGAGUGGAGAGUAAAUUCUGAAUCACGGAUUCUGAAUCAAUACUGGAGUUAAACAGAGAGUCACAAACGUCAGAAACGGAUCUCUAAUCGGGACACGGACACAUCCCCACCAGAGAUGGAAAUUCUACAGCUACUUGCAUGACGUAGCGGAUCGUUUCUCAAUACGAAUGAUUCACACUUUUUCCUCCGAUCCUGUUACUGUUCAAGAAAAUUCCCCCGUCGCGACGAACCAUCCGCCACGAUCUUCAUUUACCGAUCGAUCGAUCGAGCAGCAUCGCGAUAAAAAAACCGACGCGUCCAACCGAUACGAUUCAACGGAAUUCGAUCGACGACAGUCGGCUCAUCGACCAUUCCACCGUCCUCUUCCCUCUUUCGUCCCAUCCCACGGACCCAGCUCCUGUUUCCCUCUCUCUCUCUUUCUCUCUCCCGGCCCCGUUUUCCCGGAAGCGUGUUUCCCGGUGAACAACCGUGGCGAUUCGCGAGCCGCUCGCGGCGAACAGCGAAAUUCGAUCGAGUUUCAGUAUUCCCGGCCGCGAGUCUCGGCUUGUUCGUCUCUCGGGACAGGGUGAACGGCCGACCUAGAGGCUGCGCCGAGAGCGGCCGCCUCUCGCGGGAGUUUCGACCGAGGCGGGAAUCCACGCUCUCGUACACACGUAUCUUCGUAAGGAUUAAAUACCUGUUACCUCCUCCGAAUAUCGUCAAAUAUAUUUUUAUUCGAUCGUCGAAAAUCCUCUCUCGACAGAGGAUUAGAAGAGGCUCGUCGAGUCGAUGGGAGAAUUCGGAGCCAAAUGCGGCCCUCCUCUUCCAACACAGCAUUGACAAAUCGACAGAUUAUCCUAGUUCUUUCUUUUUCUUUUUUUUAAACACUGAAUCGAGCGGAAGAGACGAAGGGCACGAUGACUGUGCAGAAUUCCGCGCAAUCCAUUCCUCGAUUCGAAGGAUAGGAGGAUAAAUUUGGAUUUAUUCGGGUGAGGGGCGAAUUAUGGUGGCUAGUCAUCGUCCUCUCGUGGCGGUGGCGACCGAGAGAGGAGCGGAGUGGUUAGGUCAGGGAGAGUCCCGGCGCAAAACUUUGCCACGCACAUCGGCACAAUCGCCUCGACAACUCGAGCGAGUGACUCUCUCUCUCUCUCUCUCUCCUUCUCCUUCACGUCUAUCUCUCCCUCCGUCUCUCUCCAUCCUCCCGUCCCCCCGUCUCGCCGUCCUCCUCCUCCUCAUCCUCCUCCUACCUCCCUUCGCACGCUCGCUUCGUUUCCUCCUGUCCUCCCUCGCCUUCGCACCUUUCCACCAGGACGUCACCCUCCCCUCGCCGUCUCCUCUUCCUCAUUCCCUCUCCCUCUCGCCGCGAGAUUCCUUCUUCCUCCUCCCCCCAUCACCCUCCCCUCUCUCUAGCAUCCUCCUCUCAUAGCGUCUUUCACUUUUUCCCAGCCGCUAGUGGAGCAAGCCGAGCGAGCCGACUCGACUUCCGAGUCCUUCGACGACCUAGGAUCACGUCCGUGCCGCCCGAUUAACAUCGCCUUGUCGCUUCUUCCUCCUCCUCCACCGACGCCCCUCUGCUCCUCAAUCUCUCUCUCUCUCUCCUUUUCUCUUUUCUCCACGCCGCGACAUCUCCCGUGUGUCAGGAGAUUCCGUCUGGCCGCGCCACUUCCGGAUCUGGAUGACCGUGACGAGAGAGUUUCUCUAUUGUCAGCAGGAUCUUGGAAGGAGGCACGCGACUCGCGGGGAUCGCGUCACGUGCAGCGACCAAGGCUGCCUUCCACGCCGCGUUUCGCAAGCUAUCUUGUUCGAUAUCGCGUCCUGACAUUUUUGUAAUAACUGGUGAUUUCAAGAUGAAUCAUGAUCGAUGCGUUAGAGAAGAUGAGACACGACUUUUGUUUGUUUCUUCCUCCGCUUUUUCGAAAUGUAAAUAUAUAACGAUACAAGGGAAAAGUUAUCGAUACUCUGAUCCCAUCACCGGUUAAACGGUCGAUUACUUCCUAAUUCGGAAAUACCGGAUUACCCCGUAAGAUAAUUAUAACGAUUGAUCAUUAACUAAGCGGCGUGUACGUGUAUAUCCACGAAUAUCCACCAGUUUAGUUCCAUCGUUAGCCGCCUAAUGACCCCGGCGCGUCUAAGGAAACGAGGCGCACAAAGGGGGCACGAGGUUGGAGUAGGAAGCGAGAGCCGUAAUUAAAGGCAUUUCAUCGUCAAUGUGGAGCGAACGUGUCGGCUUGAAAGCCCCUUCCGGCCUCCGGUGAUCAACCAACGCUCUUCAAAAACCUCUUCUUCUUCUUCUCCUAUCUAUUUAAUCGUUAGCCAGCCUUAAUUAAUCGUAGUAGCCCAACCGGUGCGACGGUUGGCCUACGAGAGACGUUCGCUUGCUCGCCGCAUCCUCCCGAACGGCCGCGUCUUUUCGAAACUCUUUUCACGUUGCGUAAACGUCGUGGAUAAGUAGGCAGGCCGCUCGUCCGUUGCACAAUCAUCGCGCCGUGUCGCGCGUUUACCGUCGCGUUGGAACGUGAAACGAAGGGCACGCACGGUGAAAUUUCGGUUUUGUACAAAAAUGGAAAUUGUGGAAAGAAAUGGAUGGUUUCAUUGGAAUUGGAACGAAAUUUCGGCAAGGUCGAAAAAUUCGAUGGAAUUCGUAGCAUCUAGACUGGUUCGACGUGUCGUAACGAGCGCGAGAGAUCGAGCCGAUCGGCUCGUUUGGCGCCAUUGAGAGGGUUCCGGUUGCACCACGUGCUUCCGUUCGCGCAUACAGCAAACGCGCGCACGCGUGAAUAUCGAGUCUCGAUCUCUCCAUCGCUCGAAUUAUGUUUAUCAAGGCGCGACUCGGGGCCGUUCUUUUCUAACUGUCUUUUUUAAACGACUCUCCCUCUUAUCUUCAUUAUCCGUGGUGCCGAUUACGCCCACGCUUGUCCAAUCCUGUGGAUCCUAAAUGCUAAACGCCAAGAUUUACAUUUCCGCGCAAAAAUUCUCGUUUAAUGACAGCUUGCAACGUCGAAGGUGCACGCAGAGACCGGCGUCGAAUCGAACCUUGAGGAUGAUCAAGUAAUUUAUGACUCCCUCUUCCCCUCCCUCUCUCUCUCUCCUCCUGCCCGCCACCUCCUCCUCCUCCUCUCUCUCUCUCUCUCUCUCUGUCCCUCGCGCGUUCUGCUCCUCUUCUCCUCCUCCUCCUCCUCCUCCUCCUCCUCCUUCUCGCCCGACCGUCGUCUCCUCUUCCUCUCCUCCUCCACUCCCCUCCCCCUGUCUCGUUGCGCGUUGUAUCUCUCGGUUAGACUUCGUAGAAGGACGCUACCCCUCCAAAGAGUCGAGAGCGGGAUGCUGCUGGUGGUGGGACGGACGAGCAAACCGAGAGUACCACCGAGUCGUUCACCUUUUAUCCCAGUAACACGAAGUCGUAGCCGCGAGCGACGACGGGCGACAAACUACAAACUGCACGUUCUCGCGGUAUAUCUACACGACGACGACCGACCGAUGCCGGUACCGUGCUUUAUUUGUAUCGGCCGAUCAGAUGCCGCCGUGUAUCGCCGUGUAUAUCUCUCUCUCUCUGUCCCUCUCUCGUCUUAUUCUCUCGUCUUCGAUCCGUUAGGGUCGUCUCGCUCGCUUCUUCUUCUUCUUCUUCUUCUUUUUAUUAUUAUUAUUUCAUCUUGUUUGUUUUUCUUCUCUUCCCUUCUUUGUUUUCCACCGUGGCCUCCAUCACCACGCUCGGGGAAGGGCGAGAGGGGGGGCUUCUUCUCGCUGCUCGUAAAAUACGCGAGUCCAAAUUGAUGUCCCUCUACGAGAGAUGGGUGAAAAAUGGAGGUGAUUUACGAGCGGGUGUUGCGGUCUCUGGAUACGUAUUUUUAUAAAUUAAUAAAAUCGUCGUUGUUGAUUCUAAAACGGGAUUCGAUUUUGGGGAUCGGAGGAGAGGUUUCGAAGGAUUCUUUUGCCCGUUUUGAGAAAAUAUUUUUAGUUUUAUUUCCCGGAUAAUUUUCCAUUUUCCUAACGGGAUAGAGUAUAAUAAAUGGCAAUAGACUCAUCGACGUUUCUGUACGUAUUCCUUAAGGAAUAUUCGUUCGAACGAUCGAACAGCGACGUUGCAAACAAAGAUGUCGCUUUCACGAAUUGGGCCAUUAAUUCUAUCGUUAAAUCGAGCAACACAGUAUAAAAAAAAUUAUUCUUAUCUCUGUCCAGUUUUAUUCAUACACUUUAAAACUUCGUUCGCCUCUGAUUCAAGGUUCUCUUUUCAUUCCUCCGAAUGAACGAAACCGAAUAGUUUCAUAAUUACAUUUCCUAAAUUACUCCGUCUUUUAACUAGAAAAUUUAUCUCGACAAUCGUCGAAAGAAACAGUCCCUCUUCCAUAUCGAGCUCGGAACCGAAACUUCCAUUCACUAAUUAUAACCCGUUUUAAAAUUACUUUAUCCUCGAUCUUAUCUCCAAUUAUUUCGAAAGGGAAUUCUGUUCCAGGCGAGAGCGAUCGAAAGUUCCAUAAAUCGCUCCAUUCUCAUAUUUAUCCCUCUUCCUCGAGGAAACGAAGACGAGGAAGAAAGCCCACUUUCAGCUAUCCCCGAUCCGAUACGGAUUGCGAGGGAGGCGGAACGUGGCUUAGGUAGGCCACCGUCUGGGGCCUACCGGUCAUUGUCUCCUGUGCGAACGAGAGGAGACCCAGGAGGUGUACGUGCAUACCCAUAGUUGUCUUAAUGGGGCCAGAACGGCGACCGCGGUGGGCCACACCCUUAAUCCUCGCCGCCACUCAGAGAAUAGUCGCGAUGCGCAAUAAACGCCUCGACAAUUUCUCCGACGACGAAUUGGACGCGCUCGAAAGUACUGGGAUUUAUUCAGCCGGGAAAAUCAGGCGAGGAGGGGAAAGGUUUCGGGGCAAAACGAAAAUCCGCUUGACGCGUUUUACGACUGCCGGACGUCGGCACGGUGUCGAAGAGGGAUUAAAGGCGAGGGUUAGUUCGCGGAAGGCUCGUAUUUCACGGGGAACGAGCCACGGAAGCCUUCGCGAAGACGUUCGCCGCCUCGUUAUUCGUACGAGCGAUGCGUCACUUUUUUCCUCCGAGCUGUUCUCCAGACAUUUAAUAACGGAUAAUGGAAUAUUCGCGCUUCGAAAUAUCGUCGUCGACGUUGUAUAUAAUAACAAUUGAUAAUUUUGAAUAUCUUUUUUCAAUUUUUUUCCAAGGCUUCUUUUCGACGAUAUAUUCCGAAAUAUCGUUGUUUGAGCGUGUAAAAUUUUUCUGUUCGAUGUUUUCUAUCAAUCUUGAAAUUCUAUCUCGUAAAAUGUGAUAACAGCCUGUAAUUUGAUACGUUAAAAUGAUAAUACGCUUCCGUGGUCUCUCCUUUUUUGAAAAAAUUCAUCGAUGAUCCGGUUUCUUCUAAGUUUCUUCUUAAUUUCACUAAGUUUCUUUUAUCGUUUAAUGAAUUUCCUCGAUUUAUUGAAAAAAAAAAGAAAAAUAAGGAUCACUCCUCCCUUUUUUUCUUUUCUUUCUCUUUCGACCAAGCUUUCGAAAAUGCAUUACAUUACUUAAUAAUGCAAACCUAAUAGCACAUAUACACGCGUGCAGUUCAAAGGUGACGAUACGGUGAAACGAAUUUUACCGAUUUCCAAGCAUUUACGACCGGUUACGUAAGCGUCUCGUCUCGUUCGAUCCGAGACGCGGAGCCUAUUAGCUAACGAGCUUCCUUAUCGAGUGUAUUAGGGUUGGAACGAAGGGAAGUCGCAGAAUUCCAGCUCUCGUAGGACGAACGUAGGAAGAGCCGGUAUACGCGAUGAUUUAAUGCACGCGCACGAGUUUAUUUUCGCAUCGCGUAUGAGCGCGCGACUCCGAUGCAACUCGAACGAACGAAUUUGAAAUCUCGACUCGUCGUUUUCCCUUCCUUCUCCCCACUCGUCCGUCCAUUCCACAGACAAACGUUCGUAUUCGAGAAAAACGUAUUAUAAAUUGCACUGCGCCCGAUUUAUCUCGGCGUAAGGGGAUAACGAGUGUAUAAAAGUGAUUUUAUCGGGAACGAUGACGAGAGAAAAAAUAAAUAAAAAGAAGAAUCGUCGAGUUUGUUGCGAUAACGUUACCUCUCUUCAGCGGGGCGCGAUAACGAAUCGAUUCUGCCGUAUACGAGGUCAAUGAAUUCUUCGCUCCUCGCAAUUGUCCUCGGAAAUCGCUGAUAAAGCGGAAUCGAGCGAUAGAUCUAUGAACGACACGGAUUCUUCUAAUUGAUCUUGAUCUUGAUCGCGUUCGAAGAAAAGGAGAAAUAUCGUAACAGCGAUUAUUAAAUUUUAAAGAGAUUGGUGGGUCUCAAAUUUUCGCUAACAAUUGUAUCGAUUAUUUCUCAGUGGAAAAUUCGUCGAUCGCGCACACGAUCCAGUUUUCCAUCCGGGAAACACGGGCUCGCAUACUUGGCCAACGUUCCGCGGACUUUUUGCCCUGUCCGCGCGCGAGGCGAGCGCGCAGCGCCGCGAGCAGAGACCACCACGGGCGCAAACUAGUGGAACGGGAGACGUGAAACGCACCGGUUGCACCACCCAAAAGAUAAACGCCGUCAUCGAUCGUUCAUCCAUUACCACGAAAUUCCAUUUCGAAACGGAAUUCGUAUGAAUCACGCGAAGCUGCGACUGCGUGUUUACGUGUCCUUUCCACUGGCACAAUUCUUGCUCGCUUCCUGCUUCGCAGAGAAACGGCCAAAAAUGGCUGACGCUCUUCUAGGUAGUAGUGUUACCAUUCCAUCUUUUCGCGAGUAAUUCCUGUAUUAUUAGAAACGUUGUUCUCUGAAACUUUUCUUUGAGGAUAGAGUUUUAACUUUAUUCGUUCGGGGAAAAAAAAAAAAAAGAAAAAGAGGAAGGGAUUAUUUUUUUAGAAUUUUUAAAAGAAACUUUAUCCGUGCGUGUCUUACCGCAAAACGAUUCUUAACGAAAAACGAUUCUUCUCUCCAACUCGAAUUUCUAUCUUCGAAUCGAUCGAUCGGCUAAACACGUUUAAGCAAACUAUUCAAGUUAGGAAUAAUUCACUUAACCGUACCCACAUCCCCAAGGAUGAAAUUGUAAUAUUUCGACCGCGAAAAUUAUCCCGUCCCUCGAAGCGACGAGCAGUCCCACCUCGUCCAAUCGUUCGUGAAAAUAUUCUGCUGGAACCCCGGGAGGAGCGUCCACCGUUCGGAAGUGUCUCUCUCUCUUUCUCUCUUUCUCUCUCUUUCUCUCUCUCCCUUCCUCGAGUGACCAACGAAUCCCACUUUCCUCCCCACGUUGGAUUGGGCCCCGGCACGGCACACUCGUGGGGGUUGGGCUCGUCCGGACGAUAUAUCGGGGGAAAUUUUCCGAAAGCUUGAUCGUAGUGCCGAUUGCCGGUGUAGCCGGUGGCGUCGACCAAUCAGCGUCGCCCCCGGUCGAGCAAGUGGGGGUCAGCCAAGACUUAAGCGAGGCCACUCGCCGUGGAGCUGUCAGAGCUCUGUGGGGCACGGUCACGCACACAGCAGCUGGUCUUUUUUUUUUUCGACACUUUCUCCAUUCAUUUCUUCCUUUUUUUCUCUCUCUCUUUCUCUCUCUCUCUUUCUCUCUCUCUCUCUCUCUCCCCUCUCCUCCCCUCCUUUCUUUUUCCUCCUUCCUAUCAUUCCUCCCGCCUCCCGUUUCUUUCUCGGCUACGAGAUCCCCUCGGUAUCGGUUCGGUAUUCUGUUCUCUCGGCAACGUUUCUCACAACCGUGCUCUGUUCCGUCCACUGGCCCGUGGAUCGUGGCCGUGUGGAUUCAUCGGCUCGCGGAGUGUAGUCCGAAACGCGGGGAUUCGCGGCGUGUGCAUCCGAGCGCCGUUUUUUGUUUUUCUCCUUUCCCCUCCCCCCUCCCCCCCGUUCCUUUCCUUCUCCCUUUUUCUCCUCGUUUCUCGCCCCACCUCGCCCGCGAAAAGCUACGUUUGACGAGCAGUGAGAUCACACCGAGGACAGAGAUCGUGCGACAGAGGUCGAAUUUGGUCCCCUCCCUUGGAGGCCUCCCCCCCUCCCUCCUGUGGAGAACGUCUCGAGAGGAUAGCUAGGGUGGAGAGAUAUGGCUCGUCAGUUGGACCCUACCGGCCAGUAUUGAAACCACUUGGAUCCAUCCCGGGGAGGAUACACCACCGUUCGUUCGAUUCUCGUUCGACUCGAGUGACAGUUCGACAUCAUCGGUUGACAUCAUGGCAACUGGAUUGGACCCCACCGGGCUCUACUGAACACAGAGAGGAAACCAGAAGAGCCGCUUUCCCCCCCACCACCAUCACCAUCACCACCACCAGCAGCAGCAGCAGCAGCAGCAGCAGCAGCAUCAUCAUCACCACCGUCACACAACCACGUACAACACACGGACGCACUGUAUUAUAAGAGAGCGCGUGUACGCAGGGAAGAAACCGGAGAGAUAGCCGAUCGAGAAAAAAAAUAUCCGUGGCCAGUUUCCGUGUCGAGUUCGAUUAUUUAUCAUCGCGCAUCGUGAGGGGACGCAUCCCGGCGAAUAGAGGAACAUGGCUGGACUCGAUCCGACCGGUCAGUACUGAAGGAAGGGAAGUGGAGGUAGGUCGAGGAGGAGGAUUCCGGAAGAGGCGAGGAAGUCGAUCGUGUGGAGUCGAGGAAGAGAUACCUCAAGGUCGCGACAUGGCUGCCAGCACGGGCCUCGAUCCAACCGGCCAGUAUUGAACCCCUCUCUCUCUCUCCCUCCCUCCCUCUCUCUCUCUCUCUCUCCUUCUUUCUCACUCCCUCUCUUCGUCCACGAAGGGAGAAGCUUCUCUAAUUAAUCGAAUCGAGGGGAUUAUACGAGGAGAGGAAGGUGGAAAAGGGGGAAGAAGAGGAGGUUGGAAAAGUUGAGUCGAGGUGCGUCGACGAUGGGUAGACGAGUGAGGGGUAGAGAGGAGACCUCGACCUCGAAUCUGAGGAGAACCGAGUGGAGCAUCCACAUACGGAAGGGAAGACAUCGUCCGCCGUUCACGUUGGAUCUCAAGACUCAUCAAUGAACCCGCUCGGAGACUGUCACUGCCUGCGCCUAAGAGAGAGACAGACCAGCAACAACGUCACUGCCGUUCGAGGAAUCCGGAUCGUUGCGCGAUCGGAUCGAGCUCGCGACCGCGAUCCACGCCCCUCGAGAAACAGCUAGAAAGGGGGAAGAGAGAAAUAUAUACGUAUAUAUAUAUAUAUAUUCAGAGGAGCAGAGGAAACACACGAGAAUGGAAGCUUCGCACUGCCAUGAGCAUCAGUCACCAAGCUUGCUGUUGUUCUUCGUUCAACAUUAUUAUCACUCGUCGAGGAAAGCGAAAGAGAGGAUUGGAUAUGCGUAUACGUUGUUCGAAACCUCAUCGUCAUCGUCCUGCACCUUCCACACCUUUCAACGAUGAUGAUCGAUCCGCAGGAUUGUCCGUUUUUUGACGCGUGUUCGUUUCACCUUUCUCCAUCGGUCCCGUCGAGCCGCAUUCGAGGGAACGAAUUUCGAGAUGUUACUAUUUUUUAUUAUUAUUAUUAUUAUUAAUUAUAAAUAAUUAUUAUUACUACUAUUAUUAUUAUUACUAUUAUUAUUAUUAAUUAUAAAUUAUUAUUAUUAAUAUUAUUAUUAUUAUUAUUAUUAUUUAAAUCUUAUCGUUAAGAGGGCACCGUUAUAAAUAUAUAUAUAUAUAGAUAUAUAUAUAAAUAUUGUACAUGUAUAUGAAAACGUAGGUGCGGACUAAGGAUCCUAAACACGAUGGCCGCGAAACUUCCGCAUCCCCGUAUCUCCCCGUAUAUUGGAAAAUUGUUGUCAUUACUCUCCGAUAGUUACUUUGGUUACUGUAUAAAGACGCACACUUAAACACGUAUGCACGGAUACUCUAGGAGUCUCUCCCUCUCCUUCUCUCACUACACUAUACACACGAUGACGCUGAAUUUACUUAAACGUUUCUCGGCCUCUGGCCCCUCGUUCAGCCUCUUGUUACAUGUAUCCAGUCCCAUUCCGAAUGGGUGAUUUAAUAUAAAAGGAGCUAUGCGAACGCGAAUGGCCAGGCACGUUUCAGUUAAAUUCAACGUAGAUUUUUCGUUUCAUUUUCCCCUACCCGCCCUGUGCGUUAUUGGCUUUUACCACAGGCUAUUAUACUUACUAUACUGCUACCCGCCGCUAUAUCGCCUGUUACGCAGCAAUUAUCCGCGGCUACUGCCGCGGCUACUUUAUCCUCUAUCGGCCGAUAGAGCCGUUACGAGGCGCGAACACGGAAAAAUACACAUCACCCCUCCUGUUAUUCCCCUCCUCCCCAGGCGAAACGAUUGAAUCGAUCUUCAGGAUCGUUUCUCCUUCUUUUUUUUUUUUUUUUUUUUUUUUUGAUCGAUGGAUCACCUGGUCACCCGUAAACGAGAGACUCCACAACGGCGCGGACGAGGGAAGAAAUAUCCGAAUAUCGCCCUUCCUUAUAACCUUUAUAUAAUAUCAGCGCCGUAAUUACCACUUAAAUUAUUCUCACUAUUUCUAUUUCUUACCUUUAGAAUAUAUUUAUUUGAAACAAA